AGCUUUGCAGUGGUAAUAUCAUAGCCAAUGAAGGUUUACUGAGGCGUGAUUAUUGCUAUUUGAAAACUUUACCCAAUACCCGUUAAGUCUGUUUUAUGACAGACUUGACAAUUUUUUACUGUCUCUGAGGAGA